AUACUGUUAAAGCUUCUCAAGCCUUGGAAAUGAGAAACUGUGGAUGGCAGCAGUGGGUUCUUCUGGAAGUCCUGCAGGGUUGGCUGUGUGGUCCUCGGCUGGCAGAGGUUUGGAAACCUCCGUGCACGCACUUGGCCUUAGGGGAGCUGGGUUCUGCUCCACUCCCAGCCCCAGGACCCGCAGUGCUCCUCUCUGCCCUCGUGUUGCCCUUCAGCAGGGUUGUGUUCAGGCAAACCAAGCUCCACCUCAACUUUCUGUGCGUGGUGUUCCCCUCGGCUAAACCCA
ensembl:lncRNA